rnacentral:misc_RNA from 1 species
GGAAGUAAAAGCCGUAACAAGGUCUCCGUUGGUGAACCAGCGGAGGGAUCAUUACCGAGUUUACCAACUCCCAAACCCCGUGUGAACGUACCCACCCCCGUUGCUUCGGCGGUGCCGCCCCGGGCGCGGGCCUCCCAGAGGCCGCCAGCCCCGGACCCAGGCGCCCGCCGGAGGACCCCAAACUCCACUGUAUCGCCACGGCGGCUUUCUUCUGAGUCACGCUCUCCGAGCGGCAAACAAAAUGAAUCAAAACUUUCAACAACGGAUCUCUUGGCUCUG